UACGGAGGGUGCGAGCGUUGUCCGGAAUCACUGGGCGUAAAGGGCGCGUAGGCGGCGCGGGGAGUCAACGGUGAAAGCUCGGCGCUCAACGCCGAGUCGGCCGUCGAUACUCCCCGUGCUCGAGCACUGUAGAGGCAGGUGGAAUUCCGGGUGUACGCGGUGGAAUGCGUAGAGAUCCGGAAGAACGACCGGUGGCGAAGGCGGCCUGACUGGGCCAGUAGCUGGACGCUGAGGCGCGACAGCGUGGGGAGCAAACAGG
rnacentral:rRNA from 1 species